rnacentral:tRNA from 1 species
GGGGCUGUGGCACAGUGGCAGAGCAUCUGCUUGGGCUGCAGAAGGUCCCAGGUUCGAAUCCUGGAAUCUCCA